UGAGGUUGUGGCUCAGUGGUAGAGCACUUGCUUACUUGUGUGAGGCCCUGGGUUUGAUCCUCAGCACCACAA
rnacentral:tRNA from 1 species